GGGUUCGAUUCCGGAGAGGGAGCCUGAGAAACGGCUACCACAUCCAAGGAAGGCAGCAGGCGCGCAAAUUACCCAAUCCCAAUACGGGGAGGUAGUGACAAUAAAUAACAAUAUGGGGCUCUUACGGGUCUCGUAAUUGGAAUGAGUACAAUUUAAAUCUCUUAACGAGGAACAAUUGGAGGGCAAGUCUGGUGCCAGCAGCCGCGGUAAUUCCAGCUCCAAUAGCGUAUAUUAAAGUUGUUGCAGUUAAAAAGCUCGUAGUUGAAUUUCGGAGUUUGUCGGUUGGUCGGGCUUCACUGUCCGCACUGGCCUGAUGGAUUCCUACCUUCUGAAUAACCAGCAUGCUAUUAAGUUAGUGCGUUGGGGAAGCAGAGCUAUUACCUUGAAAAAAUUAGAGUGCUUAAAGCAGGCUUUUGCUUGAAUAGAUUAGCAUGGAAUAAUAAAAUAGGACGGCAUGGUUCUAUUUUGUUGGUUUCUAGGAUCACCGUAAUGAUUAAUAGGGAUAGUUGGGGGCAUUAGUAUUCAAUUGUCAGAGGUGAAAUUCUUGGAUUUAUUGAAGACUAACUUCUGCGAAAGCAUUUGCCAAGGAUGUUUUCAUUAAUCAAGAACGAAAGUUAGGGGAUCGAAGACGAUCAGAUACCGUCGUAGUCUUAACUAUAAACUAUGCCGACUAGGGAUCGGACGAUGUUAAUUUUUUAAUGACUCGUUCGGCGCCUUACGGGAAACCAAA
rnacentral:rRNA from 1 species